UACGAAGGGGGCUAGCGUUGCUCGGAUUUACUGGGCGUAAAGGGCGCGUAGGCGGACAGUUAAGUUGGGGGUGAAAGCCCGGGGCUCAACCUCGGAAUUGCCUUCAAUACUGGCUGUCUUGAGUACGGGAGAGGUGUGUGGAACUCCGAGUGUAGAGGUGAAAUUCGUAGAUAUUCGGAAGAACACCAGUAGCGAAGGCGACACACUGGCCCGUUACUGACGCUGAGGCGCGAAAGCGUGGGGAGCAAACAGG
rnacentral:rRNA from 1 species